rnacentral:rRNA from 1 species
UACAGAGGGGGCAAGCGUUAUUCGGAAUUAUUGGGCGUAAAGGGCGCGUAGGCGGCCUGGCAAGUGGAAGGUGAAAUCCCUCGGCUUAACCGAGGAACUGCCUCCCAAACUGCUUGGCUUGAGACCAGGAGAGGUGAGUGGAAUUCCCAGUGUAGCGGUGAAAUGCGUAGAUAUUGGGAGGAACACCAGUGGCGAAGGCGGCUCACUGGACUGGUACUGACGCUGAGGCGCGAAAGCCAGGGGAGCAAACGGG